GAUGAACGCUGGCGGCGUGCCUAAUACAUGCAAGUCGAGCGAACAGACGAGGAGCUUGCUCCUCUGACGUUAGCGGCGGACGGGUGAGUAACACGUGGAUAACCUACCUAUAAGACUGGGAUAACUUCGGGAAACCGGAGCUAAUACCGGAUAAUAUAUUGAACCGCAUGGUUCAAUAGUGAAAGACGGUUUUGCUGUCACUUAUAGAUGGAUCCGCGCCGCAUUAGCUAGUUGGUAAGGUAACGGCUUACCAAGGCAACGAUGCGUAGCCGACCUGAGAGGGUGAUCGGCCACACUGGAACUGAGACACGGUCCAGACUCCUACGGGAGGCAGCUGUAGGGAAUCUUCCGCAAUGGGCGAAAGCUUGACGGAGCAACGCCGCGUGAGUGAUGAAGGUCUUCGGAUCGUAAAACUCUGUUAUUAGGGAAGAACAAAUGUGUAAGUAACUAUGCACGUCUUGACGGUACCUAAUCAGAAAGCCACGGCUAACUACGUG
rnacentral:rRNA from 1 species